GGAAAGGUAGAGCUCCAGCUCCCUGCUCCUGAUGCGGAAAUAGAUCCGUCUCUGGAAAGAGAGAAACAUUUUCCAGCACUGAAAAUCACUGCUGCCUGCGGCUGGCUGAGGAAGGACCUCACCCGGCUUCUGCCUUGGAAGCACGUGGUUGUUGAAACCCUCUGCCUGGAGACUCCGCACUUCAUUGUUCAGCUCAAUCUCCUUUCCUUCAAAACACUCCAGCCCGUGCAGGAAGAUGGAAGGCUCCGAGAAAAACUGCAGGAUGAGGGAUGAGAUGAAUCGAGCAGAUGGCAGUAGAGGAGAGGCAGCCCAUGGCGCUGAGCGUGGGGUACUCACCCUCGGACAGCACGUGCUGCUCUCCAGCGAAGGCUUGCCCAUCAAACAGGAUCCAGCUGCCAGAGAGGAGCAUGUCCAGGCUGACACUGCCAUUGAGGAUGGGCUGCACCGAGGCGAUGUGGCAAUCCAUGGCGCCCCAGUCCUCGCAGCUGCGGUACACCCCCUUCUCCAGGAUGUACUGCUCGCCUGAGAAGUUGGUGCCCUCGUAGGCCACCCACCUGCCAGAAAAGGCUGUCACCUUCCCAGCGGGAUUGCCCACCCCGUGCCACUCACCAGCCACCAAGGACAUGCAAGGAGCCCACGGUGGGCAGUGCCGGCCCUGGCAAGCGCUUCAGGUCAUAGAUGUCUCGGCUGAUGGUGAAGCUGCGACCCUGGAAACCUGCAGCCUCGUAGAUCAACACCUGAGGACACGGCAGGGUGAGUGUGGUCCCACAGGCACCCUGGCCCUGCCGGCUUCUCGGACACUGGCCCCAC